AUUAUUAUCAAUAGAACCCCCAAAGGGCAUUUCAAAAGUGGACGAGGCCAUCUCUUCCUCCAUUGUUCUGUGGCUCUAGAAGUAUGGACUAAGCUAACGCAAUCGAGGAUGGAGGGUCUCAGUGUGAUUGUACAAGCUGACUCAAUCUAUGAAGCUCUCAGGAUUUGGCCUAAGAAGAGAAUUCAUGAGUUUGGGCUGCUACCAUAUGCAGUUAUUUGGACUCUGUGGUGCACCAGGAACAAGAAAGUAUUUAACAACAAAGCUUUCACAGUCGAAGGGAUAUGCUGCAAGAUGAAGGGGCUGAUCUGGUAUUGGAUGGGCUACUGGAGAGGAAGGGAUGCCUAUCAAUUUGGCCAACUCAUGGCUAAUUGGGAUUUUAUUGUUGUUGGGCAGUGAAGUACCCUCUGUUUAUGGAUGUAAGAACUCUAGGAGGCCCUAACUGACGCUGCUCUUGCAGGCUGAUCAGUCUCUGUAUUCUUAAUAAAUUUUACUCUUAUCAAAAAAAAAA
rnacentral:lncRNA from 1 species